rnacentral:rRNA from 1 species
UACGUAGGGGGCUAGCGUUGUCCGGAAUCAUUGGGCGUAAAGCGCGCGUAGGCGGCCAGAUAAGUCCGGUGUGAAAGUCACAGGCUCAACCUGUGAAUGCCGCUGGAAACUGUCUGGCUUGAGUCCGGAAGGGGCGAGUGGAAUUCCCGGUGUAGUGGUGAAAUGCGUAGAUAUCGGGAGGAACACCAGUGGCGAAGGCGGCUUUCUGGUCUGUUCUUGACGCUGAGGCGCGAAAAGCU